rnacentral:rRNA from 1 species
AAGGUUUCCGUAGGUGAACCUGCGGAAGGAUCAUUACAGAGCGUGAGACUCUGCCCGGGCUCGUCCCGCGCGCCGAGUUGACCCUCCACCCGUGUUGACUUAUUUCAUGUUGCUUUGGCGGGCCAGGCGCUGAGCGUCUACCGGCUUCGGGCUGGCUCGUGUCCGCCAAAGACCCAACCUAACUCGUGUUAUCGUGUAGUCUGAGGAAAUAACUAUUGAAUUGUUAAAACUUUCAACAACGGAUCUCUUGGCUCUGGCAUCGAUGAAGAACGCAGCGAAAUGCGAUAAGUAAUGUGAAUUGCAGAAUUUAGUGAAUCAUCGAAUCUUUGAACGCACAUUGCGCCCCUUGGUAUUCCGAGGGGCAUGCCUGUUCGAGCGUCGUCACACCCCUCAAGCCGUGCCCUGUGUAUGGCUUGGUGUUGGGGCUCGCCAGUCUGGCGGCCCUUAAAGACAGUGGCGGUGCCGGUGUGGUCUCUACGCGUAGUACAAGUCUCGCGACAGAGCUCCAGCGGCUGCUUGCCAAUCAAUCUUUCAAUUCAAGGUUGACCUCGAAUCA